CUUGGUUCAUCCUAUUGGCUGAGGAUGCUAAGUUUCAUCUGUUUUGUAAAAAUGAAAUUGUGUAUAGAUAUUUGUGGCUGCUAUAGCAACUCUCGAGAAUUGUUGUAGGGUAUGCAUUUUCCUUUUGUGAAAAAAUUGUCCUGUUGCAUUCAAAAUUUCGACUUGAAAUGGAGCUCAAUAUGAGUUAUGUGGGCCAAUCUUCUAAGUGUUUAAUGUUCUUUUAUGUUACAUCCUGGCAGGAAAGUGGAGCAGCUAUCUGAGGAGGUUGAUUCAUUGAAGGAAACCCUCGACAAGCACUUAUUGCGCCAAUGAGAGCGAAUUUGGGAAGCUAAGGAAAGGGCGGAGCUGUUUGAGAGAGCUAAUGGUGGGCCACCGGAUGUCCUUCAAAUAUUUGACGACGAAGCCUAGGCAAUGCAAUCAGGGAUGUGGUUAGGGUUUGUUAAUUUUAGCUAGGUUCUUUGUUGCUGAUUGAUGGCCAGUGGCGCUCUUCUACUUGGAACAAACACUAUAUGUAGUUGCUGCUCCUCUAGGUUGGGUCGUUGCUACUGCUUUGGCUGUAGCUCUGUGCAGGUUUCUAGGUAUCUGCUGCAAGGCUUGGAUUGACGUAUGUUGGGAUGAUCUCAUAUGGAUAAAUGGUAGAUCAAGGGCUUUUAAUCACUGAAGUAGUAUCCAUACGUAUGACUGGUGAUGCAAAUAAUGGAUGUGGAAACUAUAUGAAUGUCAAGUGGAGAGUUAAAUGAUUUAUCAAUGUUGAUUUUACUAGAAUUAUUCUUGAAUAUCAGUGAUAGGAUCUUGAGACGGCCCUCACGGGAGUGGUCGCCGCCCCCGGUCAACUAUGGUCACCUCCGUUAGCACCCACCGGCAGGAUCCCCCUCCCCCUCGCCUCCCCCUUAUCCACCAUUUCAUGUCCACCACUGGGAGGAGCGGCGGUUGCCGCUGGCGCAUAUGCAAAGCCUGGAGACAUCGCCAUCGACGGGAGGAGAAGGACUGUCUUCGUCGCGUUUGUGCACUUCCGUGAAGAGGACAACUCGAGGUGAGGAGAACCGCUUGGCAGGAGGAGCUCGAGCCGAGGCGAGUCGCCUCUGAUUCUGCAACGCGCUCGAUGUCUGCCUCUUCCCCCACAAGCACACACGAGAGGCCAGGCCUUGGACUAGGUAGAGCAGGAGCAGUUCCAUCUCCCUCACCAAUGCAUCCCCGCCCUCAUCUUGAUCAAUAAUGAACUGGAGAGAGGUCCAGCACGAUCUGAGACACAUGGGUUUUCUGUUCUCAACUUCUCAUGUCUGAUUUUAAUUCUUUUGCUUUUUGGUUAACCAGAGCUCAGAAUCAAGAUUAAGGUGUGCGCUCAUAUAACCUAUGCGGUGUCAUGGUUGUUAAAUCCUGCUCCCCAUGGCUCACUAUUGCAUUUGGAAGUUGGAAUUGUAUCUUAGAUUGAUUUGCUAUGAUGGGAUAUAAAUAGCAGCCUUACUGAUGUGUCACUUUACUUGGCUGCUUGCUGCUGAAACUUCUAUAUUUCUAUUUCAGAAUGUAGUUGAGCACAAAGCAAAAAGGGUGAUGUUUGCCCAUAGAUGCCUGAUGAUGAUCAUUUCCUGGCUAUACGUGCUCUUGGAAUUAUGCAAGCUAUGAAAAAGUGUUAUAUUAUUUCAUCUCUCUGCCGCCUCUCGACAUUUCCAUUAUGAGAUAUAUUGAGUAAUAUAGAUAUAUUGUCUAUUGCCGGGGUUAGUUAAAACGGGGCCAUGUGGAGUCCGCCAUGGGUUAAUAAUGUUGAGGUCUUUUGCAUAUCUCAUUUGAGAAAAGACCAUUAUUUGAAUGCUGAUUUAAUGUGCCUUUUAUGCUUUGUUCUUCUAGAAGAGUACAACGCUGGGUGGAUAUUCUUCUACCUUAGCAGAUGAGAUCGAUUGUAUUUCAAGAUGAGACACUGACGGGAAAAGAAGCUUUGCCCUCCGAACAUGAAGCCUAGGCUCUAGACUGGGUAUCUCUUAAAGUAAUCAUACUUUUGGUGCGU